rnacentral:ncRNA from 2 species
UUACCUUUGCGGUAUCAAAAUUUAUGGUGCAUCAGGCAAGAGUGCCGGUGACGCCAACGGAAGUCCGGUGAGAAUCCGGCACAGUUCCCGCUGCUGUAAUUUCUUCUUUGUCACUCCGCUUUCACGGCUGCUGUAUGCUGUCGUCGGGCGAGGGCAAUUAAAAAAGGGUGCGACAAUAUGUCAUUGGCCUACGGGCUGAGAAGGCGACGCUUCCCCGGAAUAAGUCAGAAGACGAAUUUUGAUAUUUGUCACGAC